AAGGUGGGGAUGACGUCAAGUCAGCAUGACCUUUAUAUCCAGGGCUACACACACGCUACAAUGGCCAGUACAAUGGGUUGCCAAGCCGCGAGGCGGAGCCAAUCCUAAAAAGCUGGCCUCAGUUCAGAUUGCAGUCUGCAACUCGACUGCAUGAAGUUGGAGUUGCUAGUAACCGCAGGUCAGCAAUACUGCGGUGAAUACGUUCCCGGGGAUU
rnacentral:rRNA from 1 species